rnacentral:misc_RNA from 1 species
CCCAUAUGUAAUUUUGGGAAAAGUGUAUUACGAGUUUCUAUGUCAGGAUGUUACAUUUUAUGUAAAGAAGGCAUUAUGAGGUUCUGAGCCAACAUCUGCAGCAGCCAAGUCUGGCUUUGUUGUCUGCUGGUAUGUUAUUUUUAUCCUCUGCUGCUAUUUCAUUAUAUAUAUUUUUAAUGCUUCUGUGCAGGCCAGAAGAUCUACGUGGACCCUU